CUAGGUGUUGUUGGAAACCCUUAGGGAUUUUAAUAUUCCCCAAGUGACUGCGAGUGACCUCUCCGCGUUUCUAGGCUGUAUCUGGGACUCCUUCCUUUCGGCAGAAAGGCCGCGAAAGAGCGACGUGAAUUUGGAGCAGAUGGCACGCACAUCCGUCCGUUGCUGAACUCUGCUUGAGGCCCAAAGGAAGACUCCAUACUGAAAGGGCUCUAACGGCUUUCUGCUCAGUUUGUUGUAAAUUCUAAAUGGGGUCCUGCCAUGUCUGCUCCCAGACAGCAGUUUCCUGCUCUGUGAAGACGCCUAACCUCACCAUUGGAGGCCAGUGCUGUAGAUGGUUGUGCCUGGGACUCCAGUUGCUGCUACUGCUGCUGCUGCUGUAGGUAGGGAUGACAUUUUAAGCUGCUGUUGCUGCUGGUAAGGAAGAUGCUGGUGAUGUUGGAGAGGAUGACAAACCUGAUCUGACGAUGAGUGUUGAAGAGACCAAUGUCUGAAGGGCCUUUAUAAAUGUUAAUAACCCACCAUAGGAAGGAACCCCACCAGUAAAACCGACAUUUUGAUCAGCCACCUCCAGAAAUAAACUUUGCUAGUGCCCAGAA